UUUUUUUUUUUUUUUUCAUUUUUGGCCACCUCAAGGCAUAUGGAAUUCGCAGGCCAGGGAUCAGAUCUGAGCCACGGCUGCAACCCAAGCUGCAGCUGUGGCAGUGCCAGAUCCUUAACCCACCAUGCCGGGCUGGGGAUCAAACUUGCAUCCCAGCGCUCCCAAGACCCCGCUGAUCUCAUUGCACCACAGCGGGAACUCCUGUGGAUAAUUCUUAAGAUGUUUUGCAUUCUUUUUUGCCUACUAAGUCUCUGAAAUCUGAUGUGUAUUUUGCAUUCCCAGCACAUCUCAGCUCCGCCCAGGCACAGUUCCGGUGUUCAACGGGCAAAGGUGGCACGUGGCCAGGGUUGGACAUCUCAGUCCUGGCUCCAUGGCUUUAACCAAGUCCCUUACCCUCUGAGGUCAGGACCCAGUCCGCUAGUCUGUCUGAGACAGCAUGCAAUAACAACAACAACAAAGUCUGGUGAAUGAAGAAAGGAAGGAAGAAAUGCCACUCUGUCUUAAUCUGCACUUUUGAGGAGGGGAUUACCAAUCACAGAUUUGUCCCGAGAAAAAAAUCAUGCCUUGUGGAGUUCAAGGUCAAGCUGUAGAAGUGAGAAACCCCAGGCAAGAAACUUAACCCCAAUAAACUUCAGGUUGUGCAUCGGUAAACUGGGGGCGAUGGUGGCAUCCAAGAUACGCCACGUCGCAUGCUUGGCACACAGUGACCAUUCGCCGGUUGUAGUGACAACGGAGCAAACAAUAGUGACAACAUCAUGGGGAUACGGAUGUUCCUGCUGUAAUCACACGGUGCUAAUGGGGAGGGGAGGAAGAAGCAAGAGGAAGGGAGGGAGGGAGGAAGGAAAGGAGGAAGGAAGGAGAGAGAGAGGGAAGGUCUGUGUAGGGGUGGAGGGUGUGUCUCAUGAAAACCUUCAACUUUCAAGAGGAUGGACAUACGACUCAAGGUGGAAAAGUGUUCACCAGCACCUCCCCCCCAAAAAAAUGGGGGAGGACAAAUGUCCAGCAGAGGAAGAGAAGUGGAGGUUCUAGGAAAGGAAAGUCAGAAUAAUAGCAGUGCACCAGCGGAGCCCAGGAAUCCCCAUCCGCCCUCCCGGGGACCAGCUGGUGCCCUUUUACGCAGGGUCCUCAGUCAACAUCUGCCGAUGGCUCCUCCGUGCCUCGCGCCCACAAAGCAUCCUUCCUCUCCACGUAAAUCACACGUUAACCAUCAGGGCGGGCCAGUGCCUGCGUUCAUCAGAAAGGGAAAACUAGGUCUUUUUUUUUCCCACUCUUGCUCUGAUUUAUACACAACCAUUUAGGGUGUCAGUCUGCGUGAAAGCAGAAUUUGUGUUCCUGCAAUGACACCAUAAAUCCUCCUGGCCUCCCCUCCACUCGCUGGGAAGCCUGAAUGUUCGGCUUCCACUGACAGCAGAUGAUGGCUCUGAAGAAGGGCACGGAAUUCACAAGCAGGUAACAACGGGGCUGGCGGGGAGGCGUGCGCCCCCGGGUGGGGGCUGCCUGGAGAGGGCCUGGGUGAAACCAGAAUGCUCCAACACCUGAUUCUUUUUUCUUUUCUUUCCUUUCCUUUUUUUUUUUUGUCUUUCUUUCUUUUCAGGGCCGCACCCGUGGCAUAUGGAGGUGCAGCCCUAAAAGGACAAAAACAAACAAAAAAAGAUGUGGAACAUAUACAUAAUGGAAUACUACUCAGCCAUAAAAAAAGAAUGAAAUAAUGCCAUUUGCAGCAACAUGGAUGCAAUUAGAGAUUCUCACACUACACGAAGUAAGUCAGAAAGAGAAAGAGAGGGAGUUCCCAUUGUGGCUCAGUGGUUAAUGAACCAGACUAGGAUCCCCAAGGACACAGGUUCAAUCCCUGGCCUCAAUCAGUGGGUUAAGGAUCUGGCGUUAGCACAAGCUGUGGUGUAGAUCAAAAACACAGCUCAGAUCCAAGUUGCUGUGGCUGUGGUGUAGGCUGGCAGCUACAGCUCCAAUUUGAUCCCUAGCCUGAGAACCUCCAUAUGCUGCCGGUGCAGCCCUAAAAAGACCAAAAAAAAACCAAAAACAAAAACACUAAAAUAUGGUACAAAUGCAUCUAGCUACAGUACAGAAGCAGACUUACAGACAUGGACAACAGACUUGUGGUUGCUAAGGGAGUGGGCAGGGAGUGGGAUGGACUGGGAGUUUGGGGUUAGUGGAUGCAAACUAU
rnacentral:lncRNA from 1 species